ACCCUGAUCCAAAUGGAAGGUGAGGACUGAGAAAGAGAAUCAUAAAAUAUUAAUAAUAGAAAAAGAAGAGAGAAUUAGAAAUUAGAAAUGAAAGUAAAGAAACCGGGAAAGAUGGUGGUGGGAAUAGUUAUAGUAGCAGUAGUAGAAGAAGAAGAAGUGCAGAAGAAGAGAAGAGACUUAGAGAAUCGUGCAAGCUCCGGAAGAAAGGGAACCCUCUUCGUACUCCUCAUUUUCCUCCUCAUUUUGCCUCGUAUUUAAUCCUCUCUUCACUGUUUGCUUCUCUUUUUUGUUUUUUUCGCUUUUCUUUCUUCGUGAUAUGCUUCUAUCGAUCUGCGGAUGCAUUCUUGAUGAAUCCGGGAUUUGUUAGAUUUUAGGUGGGGUUUUGUUUUUUCUUUUUCUUCUUUGAACUAUAUUACCUUUUAUUAUCUUUGGAUAAUAUUGUUAUUUGUUGUGAUAGAUUUUGGUGUAAAUAGUGCUAGAUUGGCGGUAUCAUUUGAAUCUAUUUAGUUCUGGGGCUUUCCUCCUUGAAUAAAUAUUUGCGAUUUUUGGAGGAUUUUCUUUCCCUUUCUUACAUUAAAUCUCAUCAAUACACUAAAUCCUAAAAAAAAAAAAAAUUCACAACACAGCCCCAAAUCACCCACCGCCAUAUUUAUUGUGGGUUCACUAUACCGGAAUAUCUGAUCAAUUUGUCAACUCUUGUUGUUGGAUUUUACUGUUUUUUAUUCUUUCUAUCGUACUCAAUUUACGAGAAGAAGAAGGAUUAGAAGUUGGGGUCUAUACUGGGUUGCAAUUCUUGUUGGGGCUUUUUGCAUUCUAUGGUAAUACCUGAUACUUCACUGAGAGAUCUACUACACAAAGUUAAGUCUUGGAAUGCGUGGGGGGGCAAGUGAUCUAUCGCCAUCUUCUUUAUCUGGUGAAUUUCAGAUGCACAGUAACAGUCUCAAAAUGUGUUGCGAGUGUAAUACAAACUUGACUGGGCUUUAUAAUGGAUACCACUGUCAAAGUUGCGGUAGGUGGUUUUGCGUCAAAUGUGCUAGGGGAUAUGAUUAUCGCGAUGUUGUUAUUGAAUCCAAUGAUAUGAAAAGCAAUGGUGAUUACAAGGAUUGCAUCAAGUCAUGCAAGUUAUGUAUUGGAUUUCGUGUGAAACGUGAAGGUGGGAGGAAGAACAGUGAAAAAGUGCAUCCUUCGGAGUCUCCCCGAGAGAGCCCCGAGCCGCCAUCCCCUUCUUUUAGAGGUCACUCGGUCCGAAGUGAUCACCGUGCCCACUCUUUUUAUUCCCGGGAUUGUGGGUAUUCUCCCCUUGCAGUAACCAGCAGGAGUAUGAUCUCAUUUAGUGCUCACCCAUCUCUGGUGUCUGACCGUCACUCUUCAAGCAGGAGUGAUGAAGAGGCAGAGGAUUCAGCGAAGGACUUUUACAGCCCAUCAAGUGAAUAUUGUCAUUAUUUUUCAGAUAUUGAUCCAAGUAGUAUUACUGCUAGACUCGAGUUCUACAGUUGUAAGUCAGCGGGAUCAAGUCCUUUAGACAGCCCUUCUAGGAUUGAUUUUACUUCCUGUAGAGUUGGGCACCCUGUACAGCGGGAAAAAGAGGGAAACCCCUUAUCUCAAAAUGAUGGUCCCUUUGAUCAAGAAACUGUGGUUAUUUUAAGAAGGCCUGAAAAAGGGACUGGGGAUCCAGACAAUAAUGAUGAUUACUCUGAUGAUGUGUCAAUGUUGCAGAGCCAAUGUGACAAGUCUCAAAAACCAUUGGAUUUUGAGAGUAAUGGUUGUAUCUGGCUUCCUCCGCCUCCUGAAGAUGAAAAUGAGGAGGCAGAGAGUAAUUUCUUUACAUAUGAUGACGAUGAUGACGAUAUUGGGGACUCAGGUGCAUUGUUCUUAUCUUCUAGUAGCCUAUCUAGUAUGUUUCCGUCAAAGGAGAAACAUAAUGAGGAUAACAAGGAGCCUCUCAGAACUGUGAUACAGGGGCAUUUCAGGGCUCUUGUAUCCCAGCUUCUACAUGGGGAGGGUAUCAAAGUCGGCGAAGAUGAUGAUAGUGAAGACUGGCUUGACAUAGUUACAUCAAUAGCGUGGCAAGCUGCAAAUUUUGUGAAACCAUAUACUAGCAGAGGAGGCAGUAUGGAUCCUGGUAAUUAUGUAAAGGUUAAAUGUAUAGCAUCAGGAAGCCCAAGUGAUAGCACCCUUGUGAAGGGAGUAGUUUGUACAAAAAAUAUAAAGCAUAAGCGCAUGACUACACAGUACAAAAAUCCCAGAUUACUUCUUUUAGGAGGAGCACUCGAAUAUCAGAGUGUUGUGAAUCAGUUGGCAUCUUUUAAUACCUUGGUGCAACAGGAAAAUGAUCAUCUUAAGAUGAUUAUGUCAAAGAUAGAGGCUCUUCGUCCAAAUGUUCUGCUAGUAGAGAAGAGUGUAUCUCCGUAUGCCCAAGAAUAUCUACUGGCAAAGGAAAUUUCUUUGGUGCUCAACGUGAAAAGGCCACUACUGGAGCGGAUAGCUCGGUGCACGGGUGCUUUUAUUAAUCUGUCAAUUGACAAUAUUUCUACAACACUAUUGGGGCACUGCGAACUGUUCCGAGUAGAGAGAGUGUCUGAAGAACAUGAGACUGCCAAUCAUUUCAACAAAAAGCCUUCUAAAACAUUGAUGUUUUUUGAAGGAUGUCCAAGGCGUCUAGGAUGCACGGUCCUGCUGAGAGGCACAUGUCGUGAAGAACUAAAGAAGGUUAAGCAUGUUGUUCAAUAUGCAGUUUUUGCAGCCUAUCAUUUGUCCCUUGAGACUUCCUUCCUUGCUGACGAGGGUGCAACUCUUCCUAAGAUGACACUUAAACACUCGAUUGCUGUGCCAGAGAGGACAGCUGCUGAUAAUGCCAUUUCACUUAUUCCUUUGACUGAGUGCCAUGCCACUGCUGGUGCCUCUGCCCAAUAUGAGGGACCUCUGGUUCUCAAACGAGAACAUCUAGGAUCAGAAUCAUUAAUACACCUUGAUAGUAGCAAUAUUCCUCCUUUAUUUCUUGGUUCUGAGGAUUGUAGGUUUGGAAAUACACUCUCUGAUGCAUGCCAUGAUAAUUUAGAGUCUAAUGUGGGAUUGGACUCAUUCACCAUAAGUGAAUUUGAGGAUCAGAAGAUGCUUAUGGUGCCUCCUUCAGGUGUUAAAAACAUUUCUCAACCAGAAUUGCCAGAUAUCAUUGCUCAAGAAGAAAGGCAGCUUAGGGAGACUCAUGAAUCAACAAAACCUAAGAGGAUAGAUGAAGAUGGAGUCUCUAGUGAAUACUUCUCAGCCACUGACACACACCAGAGCAUACUAGUUUCUUUUUCAAGCCGCUGUGUACUGAAAGGAACUGUAUGUGAACGCUCCCGGCUCUUGCGCAUAAAGUUCUACGGUUCUUUUGACAAGCCACUUGGAAGAUACCUGCGUGAUGACCUGUUUGAUCAGACAUCCUACUGUAGGUCUUGUAAGGAGCUAGCUGAAGCACAUGUGCUAUGUUACACUCACCAGCAGGGAAAUCUAACAAUCAAUGUUAGAUCCCUUUCCUCUGUUAAGCUACCUGGGGAAAGAGAUGAUAAAAUAUGGAUGUGGCACCGGUGCCUAAGGUGUGCUCGUAUAGAUGGAGUCCCACCAGCAACUCAGAGAGUGGUUAUGUCAGAUGCUGCUUGGGGACUUUCUUUUGGGAAGUUUUUGGAGCUGAGCUUUUCAAACCAUGCAACUGCUAAUCGUGUGGCUCCCUGUGGUCAUUCAUUGCAGAGGGACUGCCUUCGAUUCUAUGGGUUUGGGAGCAUGGUUGCAUUCUUCCGCUAUUCCCCCAUUGAUAUUCUUAAUGUUCAUUUACCUCCAUCAAUGCUUGAAUUCAGUGGCCAUGUUCAGCAAGAGUGGAUAAGAAAAGAGGCAGCAGAGCUUUUGGGCAAUAUAGAAGCCUUCUAUGCAGAGAUAUCUGAUGCACUUGACAGCAUGGAACAGAAAAGUAAGCAUUUCGGAUGUAAGCUGUCAGAUAUGAAUGACUUACAGAAUCACAUCAUGGAGCUUAAAGAUCAACUUAGAACGGAAAGAAAUUAUUACACUGGCAUGCUACAAGAGGCUGUCAUGGAGAGCUCACAACUGGGUCAGGCAAUUUUAGACCUUCUAGAACUUAAUCGCUUGAGACGUGCUCUUCUAAUUGGUUCACAUGUUUGGGAUCGUCAACUUUAUUCAUUGGAUUCUCUCCUGAAGACAAAUUCUGUUUUCAAGGCUAUACACGGGGAAACAUCCAAUACACAGCUAAAAGAGUCAAGGGAUGAUAUAUCUUGCAAGGAUUGUAGGCUUGACUAUGGUCAUGUAGAAAAUGUCUCCAGCUAUUCAAAACCACUAGAUUCUGUUGGGAAUGACCUACUGUCGGAGCACAAUAAGAAUACACUAUCUUUUCAACAUUUUGUUGAUGAAGAUUCUAUGUUGCCUUCAUAUCAUCAUAAUAACAGAGAGGAGGAAGUACAUUCAGAUGGGGAUGUUAUUGUAAAUAACACAUCGUUUGAUGAUAUCCCCUCUGAUGCUUCCAAUCUGUCUGACAGAAUUGAUUCCGCAUGGACAGGUACUGAUCAACUCCUGACAAAAAUUCAAACUCCACAUGUGUCUGAGACAGAUGGAUUGCAAGUUGGGUCUGUUAAGCAGCUAAUUAUUUGUGAUAAUCCUCCUUUUAAAAGGAUGCUGGCACCAGUAAGAUUUAAUUCUUUCGACUCUGCAUUAAGAGUCCAAGAAAGAAUACGGAAAGGAUUGCCUCCUUCUUCAUUGUAUUUGUCAACUCUCAAAUCAUUUCACGCAUGUGGAGAUUACAGGAGUAUGGUGAGAGAUCCUGUUUCAAAUGCAAUGAGGACUUACUCCCAAACAUUGCCAUUGGAGGCACAGAAAUUGAAUUUAAUGCCCAGUUCUGCACCCGCAUUUAUCUCCACUGCAUCUCAUAUGGCUGGAGGGGCUCGGUUGUUGCUUCCUCAGAGGAGCCACAAUGAUAUUGUUAUUGGUGUGUAUGACAACGAUCCUGCCAGCAUAGUAUCAUAUGCCCUUAGUUCCAAGGAAUACGAGGAUUGGGUUGCAGGCAAGUCCAAUGAGAAUGAAGGAAGCUGGAGUAUGAAUGAGCAUUGCAAGGAUGAUUUUGCAACUUCCACAUUUUCAGCCUGGCAGUCUUUUGGUUCCGCGGACUUGGAUUAUAUCCGUCACGGAAGUUAUGGGUCCGAAGAUCCUUCAACAUCCAUUGGUACACUGUUUAUGGAUUCCAAAAGGUCUCCGCAUUUAACAAUAACUUAUGCUGAUGAUUCCUCAACUGCUGGAGGCAAAGUAAAGUUUUCUGUCACUUGUUAUUUUGCUAAGCAGUUUGACUCUCUUCGGAAGAAAUGCUGCCCUAGUGAAGUUGAUUUUGUACGUUCCUUGAGUCGGUGUCAGAGAUGGAGUGCACAAGGGGGAAAAAGCAAUGUGUAUUUUGCCAAGUCGUUGGAUGAGAGAUUUAUUAUAAAACAAGUCAAAAAGACUGAGCUGGAAUCUUUUGAAGAAUUUGCAUCAGAAUACUUCAAAUACUUGACAGAUUCUCUUAGUUCAGGAAGUCCAACUUGCCUUGCAAAAGUUCUUGGUAUUUAUCAGGUUAUUGUAAAGCACUUGAAAGGUGGCAGGGAAAUGAAAAUGGAUAUAAUGGUGAUGGAAAAUCUGUUUUUUAGGAGAAAUAUUGCAAGGAUCUAUGAUCUUAAGGGUUCUGCCCGAUCACGCUAUAAUCCAGAAACAAAUGGCAAGAACACAGUAUUGUUAGACAUGAAUUUGGUAGAAACACUGCGUACGGAGCCCAUAUUUCUUGGAAGCAAGGCGAAGAGAAGACUGGAGAGAGCUAUAUGGAAUGAUACAUCUUUUUUGGCAGUAAGUUUUUUGUUUAGUCUCUUGCGAAUAUUUUAGACAUCAGGUUUUUUAUCCUCAAUUUUUAGUAUAGAUUUUCUUUUCUUUAACUGUGAAUGAGAACAUACUCUGAGCAUUUGCUAAUUGAAGAAUGCUAUGAAGAUUCUCAGUUGCUGAAAUUUAACUCUUAAAAGGUUUCAGAAGCCAAAAUAUCUUCACUGUUGUUUCGAUGAAUAGUCAUCUUUCCUUUUUGGUGUACUUGAAAUACGCUACACUCUCGAUAUUUGGUUGUUAAUUAAUAUUUGCAAACCAAAACAUAAUCAAGAACAACUUUUAGCAUCUUUGAAUUGAAGCUCUUCAAGUAACCAUUUCAAUGUUGUUAAAAUUGCCAUAAAAUGCAUGGUUACAUCUGUUGUCCUAGGGAGACGAUGGUAUCUCGAGAGACUGCAAGUUCAUGACAUAACUAGAAAACAAAAUGAUAUUUGUGGUUGAAGUAGAUUUGUUUAUGUAUUUAAUUGCUAGGAAUGUCAGCGCUUGCACUAGGGAAAGCGUACGGAUUGUGAUUUCUUUUGUCUAUCAGCUCUUUUGGUGCUUUUUAUCAUACAUACUUGUUUUUCAUAUGUUCUUUGGGCUUGUGCAGUCUGUUGAUGUAAUGGACUACUCUUUGCUGGUUGGACUGGACAAUGAGAGAAAGGAGCUGGUUGUAGGUAUCAUUGAUUUCAUGAGACAAUAUACAUGGGACAAGCAUUUAGAGACAUGGGUUAAGGCAUCUGGAAUUCUUGGUGGUCCAAAAAAUGCUUCCCCAACGAUUGUUUCUCCAAAACAAUACAAGAAAAGAUUCCGAAAAGCAAUGACUUCGUAUUUCCUCACAGUUCCUGAUCAAUGGUCUUCAUGAACUGUAUCAUUGCAAUUCUUUCCAUUCAAAAAUGAUUUGUUCAUUAAAUAAGUGUUGAUAGCUAGAGAUAAGUGGGAAGGAAUGCCAAUCCGUCCCUGUGAAAAUUUUCCUUCAUUUUGGUGACAUAUUGUGUAUGGGCAAAACAGCCCAAGCUGGAAGGAUUGUAUACGAGGGAAUAGAAAUUCCUUGUUGAGGUCUUUGUACAUCUUUUUUAUACAUGUGCAAGAGCCACCUCAAAGAAGGUUCUUGAAUUUGAUGUUAUUUGCAAUGUACUCUUUAACUCUAUUUGGGUAAAGGAUAGGUUGUAGAGUCUGUAUCAAGAAAAAGAAAAGGAAUAUCCCAUGUUUUACAAGUUCAUCCUUGCAUUACAUUUUCUUUACACUGAGUCUUCCAAAUGAAAAUCUAGAACCUUUUUA
rnacentral:misc_RNA from 1 species